UACGUAGGGUGCAAGCGUUGUCCGGAAUUAUUGGGCGUAAAGAGCUCGUAGGCGGUCUGUCGCGUCGACUGUGAAAUCCCGCGGCUCAACCGCGGGUCUGCAGUCGAUACGGGCAGGCUAGAGUUCGGUAGGGGAGACUGGAAUUCCUGGUGUAGCGGUGAAAUGCGCAGAUAUCAGGAGGAACACCGAUGGCGAAGGCAGGUCUCUGGGCCGAUACUGACGCUGAGGAGCGAAAAGCGUGGGGAGCGAACAGG
rnacentral:rRNA from 1 species